AUGCAGUCGCCUCUUCCUCCUCUAUUCCCUCCUACCGUGGUUCCAGAUCAGAUACAGACCGUCAUAGUGGAGAGCAUGAGCGUCAAGGUCUUAAUAGUGGGGUGGAGCUGCAGGGGAGGUAAGGAUGUCGGACGGAUCUGGCGCCUGCCGGCUGAAGCAGCAGGAGUUGGCAGAGCGACGGAUGUAGACGGGGUCAUCAACAGGGGCUGUAAGAGAAGGAGCUGCAGGUGCGCCAGGAGGAGUGUAAGGCUGAGGUUGUUUGACUGCCGGACCAGCAGGAGCAAGGAGCCAACGGUGGUCAAUUUCUUGCAUCCCAUCCCGGACUCUAAAAGAUUUCAGUUUGUGCUUUGUUUUUGUUUGAAGGUUUGGGCUGGAAUUGUUGGAUAUCCAAAUGUUUGUGAAUCAUCCUUGAUUAGUUUCUUGCUAAAACAAAGAAUGCAUCCCGUAGCACCUCGACCAGGUGUCACAAAAGAACUAAAGUAA
rnacentral:rRNA from 1 species